GACGAAGGAUUCAAGCGUUGUCCGGAUUUACUGGGGUUAAAGGGUGCGUAGGCGGAAAUAUAAGUCAGUGGUGAAAUCCCGCAGCUCAACUGCGGAACUGCCAUUGAAACUGCAUUUCUUGAAUACGGUUGAGGUAGAUGGAAUGUAACAUGUAGCGGUGAAAUGCUUAGAUAUGUUACAGAACUCCGAUUGCGAAGGCAGUCUACUAAGCCGUUAUUGACGCUGAGGCACGAAAGCGUGGGGAGCAAACAGG
rnacentral:rRNA from 1 species